rnacentral:rRNA from 1 species
UGGGGAAUAUUGGGCAAUGGGCGAAAGCCUGACCCAGCAACGCCGCGUGAGGGAAGAAGGUUUUCGGAUUGUAAACCUCUGUCCUCAGGGACGAAGGAAGUGACGGUACCUGAGGAGGAAGCCCCGGCUAACUACGUGCCAGCAGCCGCGGUAAUACGUAGGGGGCAAGCGUUGUCCGGAAUGACUGGGCGUAAAGGGCGUGUAGGCGGCCUGAUAAGUAUGAAGUGAAAGUCCUGCUUUCAAGGUGGGAAUUGCUUUGUAGACUGUCGGGCUUGAGUGCGGAAGAGGUAAGUGGAAUUCCCAGUGUAGCGGUGAAAUGCGUAGAGAUUGGGAGGAACACCAGUGGCGAAGGCGACUUACUGGGCCGUAACUGACGCUGAGGCGCGAAAGCGUGGGGAGCGAACAGG